CCAAAAUUUGCUAGUAAAAACUUUAUCUCUAUUAGAGACAAUGGUUUGAAGCAUCCCAUGGUGCUUAUAUGCGUUGUCCAUAAAUAGUUUAGCCACUAACAAAGCAGUGAAGGGGUGUGAAAGGGAUACGAAAUGUCCAUACUUGGUUAACUUGUCCACUACCACUAGUAUGGCAAUUUUAGCUCCUGAAGUGGGAAGUCCUUCAAUAAAGUCCAUGCUAAUAUGGCUUCACGAGUGAAGGGGCUCAAGUAAAGGUUGUAGUAAUCCAGGAUACUUUGUAUGUUCCCCUUUACACCUCCAGCGAACCUCACAUUGUAACACCUCCAUCUUAAUAUCUUGAUUCAUUACUGCCCAAUAGAACUGCUAUUUUACUCUAUAUAUGCUGCUAUAAAUGCCUGAAUGACCUCUAUCAUGUGAGCUAUGGCUAUGAAUGCCAGAAUGACCUCUAUCCUAUGAGCUAUGGCUAUGAAUGCCUGAAUGACCUGUACCCUGUGAGCUAUAUAAAUUCUAAAUCAGUUUUAGCAAACCACUGUUCAGACUCAAGCCUUAGUAACAAGGCCUAAAUCUUUUCUUCAACCUUGUUAUCUCCCCGGUAGCUAUCCAUAACCUCUUGAAUCCGGGCUGGAGUUACCACAGAAAUUCCCAGACAAUCAAGAUUUCUUUCAUCCCUUUUGGAUAAUGCAUCUGCCACAAUGUUAUCCACUCCCUUUUUAUACACAAUUUCAUAACUAAGCCCUAGCAAUUUGGUUAGCAAUCUCUGCUGUAGAGGGGUGGCGAUCCUUUGCUCAAGUAAGUACUUGAGUGACUGAUCAGUCUUUAUAAUAAAAUGGUUGCCCUCCAGAUAGUGCCUCCACCUACUGAUUCCAGUUAGUAGGGCCAAUAAUCCUUCUCGUUGACGGAUAGCCCCAUAUUCUUGACCCUACAGUUUUUCUCAAAUAAGCCAAGGUCUACUAUCUUACAUCGAUACAGCCCCUAUACCCCCUUGACAUGCAUCUAUUUCAAAUAUGAAUGGCUUGUUAAAAUCAAUAUAGCUAAGACUAGCGUGGAGCUCAUUGCCUCUUUCAACAAAACAAAUUUUGAAUUUACUGCCUCUGACCACUGGAAGCUGUCCUUUUUUUGAGAAAAUCAGUCAAUGGUUUAGCAAUGACCCCAUAGUUUUUGACAAACUUCCUGUAGUACGUCCUAGAAACCCCCUCAACUGAUUGAUAUUUCUAGGUUUAGGCCAUAGUUGCAUGGCCUCAAUUUUGCUGGGAUCAGCUAAAACUCCAUGUUGAUUAAUGAUAUGUUCUAAGUAUUCCAUCUGUUCCUGACUAAUGCUGCACUGAGACCUCUUGACAUAUAAUUGCUGCUUCUGAAGAAUCUCAAGUACAGAUUUUAGGUGUUGUCAAUGGAUAGUUAAGUCCUUGUUGUAAAUUAGGAUGUCCUCGAAAAACACCAAGACAUAAUCCCUUCAUUGCCUUUUGAAUACCUUAUUUAUGAGGCUUUGAAUAGCAGGAGCAAUAGUGAGGCCGAAUGACAAAUUCAACUACUCUGACUUGGUGAUAGCCAGACCGAAGGUCAAUUUUAGGGAAGUACUUUGCCCCAUUCAACUCAUCAAUUAGUUCACCAAUCAUUGGCAUUGGAAACUUGUCCUUACUAGUUAGGCCAUUUAAUUGCCUGUAGUUCACUCAAAACCGCCAUAAUCCAUCUUCCUUUUUCACCAAGAGGGCAGGAGAUGCAAAGGGGCUCUUGCUAGAUUGAAUUAUGCCACUCUCCAGCAUUUCCUUAACCAAUCUCUCAAUUUCAGAUUUCUGGAUGAAAGGGCAUCUGUAGGGUCUAAUCUCGUUGUUCUUGUACUGAUUCAGUAUCUUUAUAAAUAUAUUCUUCUUGUUCUUGUUCUGGUUAUGUUAAAAAUAUUUUCCCUUUGAAUUGUGCGGAUAAGGUAACAGGUUGUGCGGGUAAUUGUUGGACCAAGCUGCCUCGUAGAUGAAGAGGGGCAUUAUGUGCUCCACUUGUUGUUGCAGAUUCCCUUUUCCAUUCUUAAUACAUUAACUAGAUCCUUAUAAGGUAAUUUCAGAUAACUAUAUCUAUUAAAUAUGUAGAAGGUUGGCUUUACUUUCUAUAAAAAUCUGUGCCCCGUGUCCACAUUUGGUUUUCAGUAAAGCUCCUUGGAAAGGAAACACUAUCGUUUAAUGUUCUUGUUAAUCCAUGUAGAUUUCUUAUUCUUGCUCUAGAAUAACUUCCGUUUUCAUUGUAUUUCAUUCAAUUCCAUGUUUACCAUUCGGAACUGGAUGAUGUCUUCGCCAAAUGGCAUAUGGUACAGGUUAGUAUUCUUUGUUAUUUCUUAAAUGCUCAUGAUACCAAUCUGGUAUUACUGUAUUCAUGCAAGUGAAACGUUCAGCAUACAAGGAAGCUGGUCACUUGAGACAUAAGGCUGCCUUACUAAUGAUCUUGUCGGUAUUCUCUUUGUUGCAGGAUCCCGUCCUCUUCCCUGUUUCUUCAUGAAGAAGCUGAAAGACCAGUUAUACAUAGAGAUUUAAAAGCAUUGAACAUCCUUCUAGAUGCAGUAUGCAUCGUGAAAUCCUAGCUGGUUUCAUGAUUCCUUUUUUGACGGCUUUGCUUUUCGAAACUGUCACUCUAGGAUUAUAACGCAAAAGCUUUCUGAUUUUGGUCUUGCCGAAGAUGGUCCCAAGCGAACACAACUUGUUGGAAUGGGCAAGACCAUAUCUCAAUAGGAGAGAAAAGAAGAUUCUACAGCUCCAUCCCCGUCUUGAGGGUCAUCUCUCAGUCAAAGGUGUGUAGAAGGUUGUGCAGUUGGCGGCUCUAUGCCUUAGUCGUGAUGCAAAGGCUCGAUCCCUGAUGAGUGAAGUUGUCAAAGCCUUUUUUCCGUUGCCUAAUUUGAAGGACACGACUUGUUCCUACUCCAAUUUGUAGGCCAUGCACUCGAAACAUGCUGGUGCCACCAUAGAUACCAGAAGAGUGUAGCCGCAGAUUGGUCAACCAGAGGAUGAGGAUGAGGAUGGUGCCCAAUGAUAUUCUUACUGCGGUUAGGCUUUUUCUAUAAUUGCAUGUCUCCCUUUUUUCGGUAAACUAGAGAAGAAAGAAGUUUGCUAAGGAAAUCUCCAAUAUGAGGCGGUGGGGAGUUGUUGAAAUUGUUGCUUGAAUUGUGUUUAGGUUUGAAUAAUUUUAACAGCCACAUCACCUUCCCGUCUGCCAUGUGGAUUUUUCUUAAUGGAUUUGAAUGGAAUGAUGAAU
rnacentral:lncRNA from 1 species